rnacentral:rRNA from 1 species
UGGGGAAUUUUGGACAAUGGGGGAAACCCUGAUCCAGCCAUCCCGCGUGUGUGAUGAAGGCCUUCGGGUUGUAAAGCACUUUUGGCAGGAAAGAAACGUCAUGGGUUAAUACCCCGUGAAACUGACGGUACCUGCAGAAUAAGCACCGGCUAACUACGUGCCAGCUGCCGCGGUAAUACGUAGGGUGCAAGCUUUAAUCGGAAUUACUGGGCGUAAUGCGUGCGCUGGCGGUUCGGAAAGAAAGAUGUGAAAUCCCAGAGCUCAACUUUGGAACUGCAUUUAUAACUACCGGGCUAGAGUGUGUCAGAGGGAGGUGGAAUUCCGCGUGUAGCAGUGAAAUGCGUAGAUAUGCGGAGGAACACCGAUGGCGAAGGAAGGCUGAAGGAAUAACAAUGACGAUCAUGAAAGAAAGGGUGGGGAGGAAACAGG